UUUAAGAGUAUAGAGAGUUUUAUUGAGGAUUACAGACAGGUGUAAAAACAUCUGUGUCUUUCUUCCCUCGUCUGUUUUUGCUCAUUCUCUACUCCCAUUAAAAAGUUUUUUAAUGCUCAAAAAGUGUUAACAGAGUGCUUAAAUUCAGUAGACUCGCUGAAUCUGCACAUUAUAAGCAGAAUUACACACAGAGACAUG